UACAGAGGUCUCAAGCGUUGUUCGGAUUCAUUGGGCGUAAAGGGUGCGUAGGCGGCGGGGUAAGUCGGAUGUGAAAUCUCGGAGCUUAACUCCGAAACUGCAUUCGAUACUGCCGUGCUUGAGGACUGGAGAGGAGACUGGAAUUUACGGUGUAGCGGUGAAAUGCGUAGAUAUCGUAAGGAAGACCAGUGGCGAAGGCGGGUCUCUGGACAGUUCCUGACGCUGAGGCACGAAGGCCAGGGGAGCAAACGGG
rnacentral:rRNA from 1 species